rnacentral:misc_RNA from 1 species
GUGAAUCAUCAAAUCUUUGAACGCAUAUUGCACUCUCUGGUAUUCCGGAGAGGAUGUCUGUUUGAGGGUCAGUUAAAUAAAAAUCGGUGUGGUUGCUGCCUUUAGUGGUGACGCUCGGGAUGUGGGUCGUGUUGACUUCGGUUAAGUGACCUAAAAUAUUGCAUGAUUUUUUCUAACGUUGUGAAAUAAUUUUACGUACGGUUGCGAUGUCUGAUACUAGGUGCGGUCAUGUACAUGAUCUUGUG